AGCCGGGCACUUUGCARAAACUGCCGGUGACAAGCCGGAGGAAGGCGGGGAUGACGUCAAGUCCUCAUGGSCCUUAUGGGCUGGGCUACACACGUGCUACAAUGGCGGUGACMGAGGGSGGSAGGSGGGCGACCGUGCGCCAAUCUCGAAAAGCCGUCUCAGUUCGGAUUGCUCUCUGCAACUCGMGAGCAUGAARUCGGAAUCGCU
rnacentral:rRNA from 1 species